rnacentral:rRNA from 1 species
UACGUAGGGACCGAGCGUUGUUCGGAUUCAUUGGGCGUAAAGGGUGCGUAGGCGGCGCGGUAAGUCGGGUGUGAAAUCUUGGAGCUUAACUCCGAAACUGCAUUCGAUACUGCCGUGCUUGAGGACUGGAGAGGAGACUGGAAUUUACGGUGUAGCGGUGAAAUGCGUAGAUAUCGUAAGGAAGACCAGUGGCGAAGGCGGGUCUCUGGACAGUUCCUGACGCUGAAGCACGAAGGCCAGGGGAGCAAACGGG